rnacentral:rRNA from 1 species
GUGAACGCUGGCGGUAGGCCUAACACAUGCAAGUCGAACGGCAGCACAGUAAGAGCUUGCUCUUACGGGUGGCGAGUGGCGGACGGGUGAGGAAUACAUCGGAAUCUACUUUUUCGUGGGGGAUAACGUAGGGAAACUUACGCUAAUACCGCAUACGACCUACGGGUGAAAGCAGGGGAUCUUCGGACCUUGCGCGAUUGAAUGAGCCGAUGUCGGAUUAGCUAGUUGGCGGGGUAAAGGCCCACCAAGGCGACGAUCCGUAGCUGGUCUGAGAGGAUGAUCAGCCACACUGGAACUGAGACACGGUCCAGACUCCUACGGGAGGCAGCAGUGGGGAAUAUUAGACAAUGGGCGCAAGCCUGAUCCAGCCAUACCGCGUGGGUGAAGAAGGCCUUCGGGUUGUAAAGCCCUUUUGUUGGGAAAGAAAAGCAGCAGGUUAAUACCCCGCUGUUCUGACGGUACCCAAAGAAUAAGCACCGGCUAACUUCGUG